GGGCGCGUAGCUCAGCUGGCAGAGCGGCGGACUCAUAAUCCGUUGGUCGGGGGUUCGAAUCCCUCCGCGCCCA
rnacentral:tRNA from 1 species